ACUGGGUGCAGUGGCGUGUGCCGGUAAUCUCAGCUUUCUGUGAGGUUGAGGCAGUAGGAUUGCUUGAGUCCAGGAGUUCUGUUCCCCACUGAGCUAUGUCAAUCUGGUGUCAGCAUCAAUAUGGAGACUCUGAGAGAACUUGGAGCCGCCAGGUUGGUCUAAGGAGGGGAAAACUGACCCAGGCUGGACACAGAACAGGUAAAACCCCCUGUGUUGAUUAGUAGUGGGAUAGCACUUGUGCAACACAGCCUGAACAAAACAGUAAGACUCUGUCUCUC
rnacentral:SRP_RNA from 1 species